rnacentral:rRNA from 1 species
UAGGGAAUCUUCCGCAAUGGACGAAAGUCUGACGGAGCAACGCCGCGUGAGUGAAGAAGGUUUUCGGAUCGUAAAACUCUGUUGUCAGGGAAGAACAAGUAUGGGAGUAACUGCCCGUACCUUGACGGUACCUGGCCAGAAAGCCACGGCUAACUACGUGCCAGCAGCCGCGGUAAUACGUAGGUGGCAAGCGUUGUCCGGAAUUAUUGGGCGUAAAGCGCGCGCAGGCGGCCUUUUAAGUCUGAUGUGAAAGCCCCCGGCUCAACCGGGGAGGGUCAUUGGAAACUGGAAGGCUUGAGUGCAGAAGAGAAGAGCGGAAUUCCACGUGUAGCGGUGAAAUGCGUAGAGAUGUGGAGGAACACCAGUGGCGAAGGCGGCUCUUUGGUCUGUAACUGACGCUGAGGCGCGAAAGCGUGGGGAGCGAACAGGAUUAGAUACCCCCGUAGUCC